GUAUUGCUUGUCACAGUCCCAUUUUCCUUUCAAUUUUAUUUAUAUCAGUGAUGAACAAAAGUAAAAUUUAUGCUCAUAAUCAGCCUUUUUUUUUUUUUUUUUUUUUUUUUUGUUUUUUUAGGGCCGCACCCGCAGCAUAUGGAGGUUCCCAGGCUAGGGGUCCACUCAGAGCUGUAGCUGCUGGCCUACACCACAGCCACAGCAACUCGGGAUCCGAGCUGUGUCUGCGACCCCACACCACAGCUCAUGGCAACACCGGAUCCUUAACCCACUAAGCAAGGCCAAGAAUUGAACCUUCAACCUUAUGGUGCCUAGUCGGAUUCACUAACCACUGAGCCACAUCGAGAACUCCAGGAACCUGUAUUUUUAAACCUCUCCCAAGGUGACACAGCCCUGCCAGGUGCAGGAGAGCCACCUCCCGGGACACAGCUGCUUGGUCACUCCUGGUGGGCCAGGAUUCCCAGCGCCCUGGGACCUUGUGAGUAUAAACUUCCUUCCGCCAAGCCCAGUAAGACAGCCUCCCCAGAGGAACAGACUGGUGGUGUCCAGACUUCCUCAAAGCCUGAGGGACUGAAGGUGGCUGGGCAGGCAGCCAAGGGGAGGGGAGGGGUGGAGUCCUCUGACAGCUGCCCUCAGCCUCAGGGCUGGCCCUGAGAAGCCCAGUGCCACUGGCCACCUGCCCAGUCAACAAUCCAGAAAGGGCCAGGCCACAUUCCCCUCUGCACUCUUGGCUGAAUGAACCAGAGGUCCUCAGACAAUGGUUCUGACUGCAGAAGUUUGAAAAAUGCUGCUGCCUAGGUGCCACCCCCAAGGAGGCCCCAGCUAGUUGGUCUGGGGUACACUUGACCACGGCUGAUUCUACUAUGUGCAAGCAGGGCGAGGACCAUGGAACUGGGGGGGAAGAGUGAACAUAAGGAAAGGACUUUGCUGGAGGCGAGUGUAGAACCCAGAAGAGAUCCUGCUCACGCCCCAAAAUGGGGAUUUUAUCCAGAGGGACGAUGGCGGUUACUAUUUCUGGGCUCCUGUGUGUGCUUACCACGUGCCAGCUGUCGUCCAAGGCAUCUUCACCUCUUCCCGGACCUGAGGGAGGGCUCACCUCACUCACCAAGUCCUGCUCUUAACCAGCUGGUUCUUGGAAGACUGUGAAGGCUCACAAAAAAAAGAGUGAAGACUUUUCAUGAAAACCUAGAAAACUGCAAGCUACUUUACACCUACUCAUUCAAGAAAUGUCCAGCUUUCCUACCCUUUGUGCCUGGUGCUGACGUCCAGAGCUGGGCACUCAAACUGGAUGGGAAAGCACGCAGUAGUUCACAUAGCAUCCUGUUCAGAGAAAUGGCAAGAAACCGAAAAGUGGAGUGCACCACCCUCGGAGAGCUAAGAACUUUCUACAAGUUGUUGCAGUGGUGUGUGGGUCUGUGUGUAUGUGUCCACACUAGGUCUUGAUGGGAAAGGCAUUUCUUAUUGUCAGUCACAGUCCGAAACACUUGAGAAACAGAGACAGAUGGGCAAGAGACAAGCCUUCGUGUACCGAAUAUAAUUGUGUAAGCAAACGCAGUUCUGUUAACCUAAGAAGCCCCCAACUGUAACUGCGUGGUAGUUACAAAUUUCUAGAUACACCUUGAAAUUCACUUUGUGGCCAUGACACCCAAAGUAGAAGAAAUGGGUGAAAAGAGUAUAAACAGCCUUCUCCAUGGUUUGGAAAGCGUCCCCCACUCCCCCAGGAAUUUCAGCCCAGCACCACCAUCACCCCUAAGACCGACCAAUGGUGGGCCUUAAUGUCUUCCUCAAGUCUCGACGGUACAAUAGCACAUACCUUGGUAGAUUUAUGGAGAAAGAUCUCCGGACUAUUAGUCCACGGGGCGCCCAGGGGCUGAAUCGGCCCAGGGAAACCAGGAGUGGAAAGCUGCCCCCAGCAUCCCCAAACCCUUCCUUCUUCUCCGUCAGGCUGCUUAACCGUUUUCAGCCUGCUGAGCAUGCUAGUUGUUGCAGCUGGAUGGAGCCCAGGAUUCCUAGAGCUCUCAAAGGCGGUCCCACGAAUGAUGGGACUUCAGGCCGCUCAGAGCGCACAUCCAGCAGACCUGCAGCAAAGGACCAGCACAGCUACCAUGUACGGCUGUGCCGCAACCAAAUGCAGAGCAAACACGUCGGCCCAGCGUCGCCUGCCCUCGGGUUCGGGGGGCCUGGCUCCCCCAAUUCCAGCAUUAAGGAUGAUCCCCUGUACUUGCUGUCCUGUGGCAUCACCGGUAGGCGCUGGCUUCACUCUGGAAAACAACAUCUCACCCACCUGUGGACAAGCUUUUGUCCUAAAAACUGAUCAUUUCUCAGACUACAAGCUUCACCAAGUGCUUGAUACCGGCCCUCGAUCCGUUUGCAAGACCGGGGCUUCCAUGUUACGGUCUCAUAAAACACUGAACUCUCACGCAGCCACCUGUCAGUCAACCAGCAGCACAGCUUAGUGGUUACAUCCACAAAGGACUAAGCAAAGUGUUGGGAAGGUUACGCUCCAAAACGUUUCAGUUUUUACCUUUGGGGAGGGGUGAAAGAGGACAAGUUGAAAGGGUCUUUAAGGUGAAAUGUCUGACAUUUUAAUUUUCUUCACAAAAAUGCAUGAGUGUUAAUCUCUUCAAUGGCACAUUUAAAAAAAGAAAAAGCUAUCAGAAUUAUUUAGCGUUGAUAUUCCAGACUUAAGGACUCCUCUGAUGAGAAGCAGAUUCAAACAGUAGACGUAAGUCUACUCACAGAAUUCAAGGCACUAAACUUCGCAUUGUUCUUUUUUUUUUUUCUAUUUCAGAGAUGAUGAAACAGAACCCAGAGAGAGAAACUUACCCAGGUUCUCAUACCUAGUAAAUGGUGAAGUCAGCAUUCAAAUCCACAUAAUUUCAAGCAAAGAUUCUUCUUUCAUACAAGGGGGCAGAAGGUAAGUGAACACUGUAAGAUCUUUUCUGUCCACUAGUAGUAGAUACGCAACACCGGCUAAGAUGUAGGGAGAAAAGUCACUCUCAUCACCAUGGUGAUGCAACUAUUAACUGAUCCUCCUACUUUGAUAGGACCGUUCAAUAUUUUAAAUAUGUGAAUUCCUUUGAACCAGCCAUUUCCCCUGCAGAAAUUUAUCCUAGGGAAACCUAAAAAAAAAAAAAAAAAAAAA
rnacentral:lncRNA from 1 species